UACGUAGGCAGCGAGCGUUAAUCGGAAUUACUGGGCGUAAAGCGUGCGUAGACGGUUAUGUAAGUCAGAUGUGAAAUCCCCGGGCUCAACCUGGGAACUGCAUUUGUGACUGCACAGCUGGAGUGCGGCAGAGGGGGAUGGAAUUCCGCGUGUAGCAGUGAAAUGCGUAGAUAUGCGGAGGAACACCGAUGGCGAAGGCAAUCCCCUGGGCCUGCACUGACGCUCAUGCACGAAAGCGUAGGGGAGC
rnacentral:rRNA from 1 species